rnacentral:rRNA from 1 species
UACGUAGGGAGCAAGCGUUGUCCGGAUUUAUUGGGCGUAAAGAGCUCGUAGGCGGUUCUGUAAGUCGGGUGUGAAAACUCCAGGCUCAACCUGGCGAUGCCACUCGAUACUGCGGUGACUUGAGUCUGGUAGGGGAGCACGGAAUUCCUGGUGUAGCGGUGAAAUGCACAGAUAUCAGGAGGAACACCGGUGGCGAAGGCGGUGCUCUGGGCCAGUACUGACGCUGAGGAGCGAAAGCGUGGGGAGCGAACAGG